AAGAGUAUGAAAACUCAGCAAUGAGUUUGACAUUUGUAAUAAAGAGACACAUAAGUUGCAGAAAGCUACAGUUUGUCUCACCAGAGUCUACAAGUUGAUCUAGUCUCUGGACUUCAGCCUCAGCCUUGGGAAAAUUUUUGCACAAAAGAAACGAGCACACACGUCUGAUGGUGCAAAUGAUAGUAAAUCAAUGACGUGAGAAAACUUUUGACGAUCUUCAUAAGAUGCAUCCAUUAGAUUCCAAAGAUUGGAUAAAGCUCUACCAAGAUGGUGAAGCUGCCAUUUGUAAGAUGUCUUAGAAGUUCGGAACUGCUUCACUCUCUCGUCUUUCCUCAGCCUCAUCUCACGCAGUGCAGGCGCUAUAGAAUCCAGCUGCUCUCUCAGUG